rnacentral:lncRNA from 1 species
GGGGGCAAAGCAGCUCUUGUCAACCUUCAAAGCAACGUGAACGUGUUGAAGAUGAUGAAAUUGCGACACAAAAAUCGUCCGUUGCCAUCACGAUGCACGACUUCUUGCCCGAAGACUUCUUCAAUCACGUAGUCAAAGCUCCUUGCUAUGAAAAUUGUGAGGAACGCAUCUCCCAGAUUGCUUGACAAAAUUCACAAAUUCUCCUCGCCCGCACGAGUCUAAACUGCAUGGCACAAAGCUCCUGGUCUGCACGAGCAUAAAAGGCAACACCAAUGCUCCUUGUUCGCACGAGCCUAAACUGCACGAACCAAUGCUCCUUGUUCGUACGAGCCUAAACUGCACGAACCAAAGCUCCUUGUCCACACGAGCCUAAACUGUAGGACACGAAGCUC